UGUCCAGUAGCACCUUAGAGACCAACUAAGUUUGUUCUAGGUAUAAGCUUUCGUAUCUGAAGAAGUGUGCAUGCACACGAAAGCUUAUACCCAGAACAAACUUAGUUGGUCUCUAAGGUGCUACUGGACA
rnacentral:miRNA from 1 species